ACAAAAAUAGCGAAUGAAAACAAAUAUUGCACGAUUAAAAUAAAAAUAGCAAUAAAUAUUAAAUUGAAUUCAUGUUCACACGUUCAAAACAUUUUAAUACGAAUUUAGCAAGAAAAAUAAAGAUUAAACCUAAUUCAAUUACUAGUUUUUCUCUAGAGUGUAAAUGGUGGGUGUCUAUGCUGAAACGAAAGAUUUAUACACUGAAGAUAAAAAUAACGCUUAAAAUGAUUUGAUUAUACUCAUUGCGUUGGUGCUGUCUUUGCUGUCAAAGCGUUGGAGUUUUUUUCACCAUAAACGUGUUUUGUUUUGUUACCGGUCCGUGUCGAGUUCCGGGGCGCGUACCAGUGGGUGGCCACGAUCGAGGUUUUCCUUCGUCCCGGGUCCGUUAAUUCCCUCCGUCCGUUUGGCCUUGGUCGAAAAAUUUCGAUCUUUUCGAAAACUUUGUUUUUCUCGGCCAAAGUUGGUGAAAUUUUGCGAUUGCUCGGGCCGGCUGAUUAGAAGCACGAGAAAAAUCUGCCUGUAGUGCCGGAAUUGAAACUGAAGGCCGUGAAGUCUGCGAUGGUGCCACCAGCUGCAGGAGCUGACCGUGAAGCUGCCUCGUCGCAAGCAGAGGUACGGCAGGAAGUAUGGCCGAAUGAAGCAUGAGGUGGUUUAGAAGCAGCGCGAGGCCAAAAAGGCCGGAAACAUCUACAAUCUGGACGAGCCGAAGGUGAUCUUCGUAAUCCGUAUCCGCGGUAUUAACAAGGUCACCCCGAAGGUCCGUAAAGUCCUGCAGCUUUUCCGUCUGCGGCAGAUCAACAACGCCACCUUCAUAAAGCUGAGCAAAGUCACCAGAACUUGCUGCGCAUCGCCGACCCGUGCUAAAUUCGUCCCCUUCAACCUGAUCUAUCGAGGACUAUCCUGAGUCAUAACUUGACUGACUGGCGGUUAAAGCUUCUCGUGACAUGAUCGCUCACACUAGAAUCCACCAGUUUGCCGAGGUGGUGGUCGAAAUAUUUCUGCUUGCGUACGGAACGUGCUCGUGGCACUCGUUUGAUCGCAGAACUUCCUCAUCAACUACCGGGCCACGACACAUUACAAACUGACCAUGCCCCCAGCACUGAGAAAUGUCCUGUGAAGCGAAACUGGGCUUGAAUACGACCCUGACAAACUGGCUGAGCCCGGAACUACACGAAAUUUAGCGUCAACGACACUUACUAUCUGGUUUUCAAGACGGCAAAACUGACGGUAAGUUAAUCAGCAAAUAAUCUAUAAUUUGUUAACGCAAAACUUAAAAUUUAAGCUCGGACCUCACCUUGUGGCAACUGUUCCACUCGCGGAAAUCGGAACCGUCCAGGCGAACCACAACACGCAGUCGUUGCUGGUCUUCUUGGUCCAGGCCAACCAAGUCAUGCUGCUGGUGUACACACCAGAACCUGCAGUGAGCCUUCAAGAACAUCACACCUCAUCCGACGCAGCACCCGCUGGCAGUAGACAAGCUGUUCAGAUUGUCGACUGUUACGCAGUCCGGUGCUGCAGCUGCUGCGGUUCUCUGUCUCAGAAGUCGUAUGAGCAAGCCCCGCACUCACGAUUGGACGCAUUCUCUAGCAGCGCCCGGCCACAACCCGGACGACAACCGCUUCUCAAAAGCAUCCGGAAGUUGCAUGAUGUAACCCAAGUAGCAAGAAAAACAUCGCUCUUUAUUUUUUUGUUGAACAAUUGCUGCAUAAGUAUUUUUAUUCGUUAAUUAUUGAACAAGUGGCAACACAUUUGGUCAAUUGUUCACAUUUUGAUCAAAAAACCAUUGUUCAACAUGGCUGUGUAACACAAAUGUCAAAUCUAGCAACGGAUUACGAAUAGUUCAUUUUGAAGUUUAUUCUGACCUCAAUGAAACAUGCUUGUAGAACUCGUAAAGCAAAAUGACAUUUGCAGACAUGAUGUUUCAUUUCAGUUUGCUGAACGUGAUAACAUAGUAGAUUUGACCUUUCUCUUCGGCUGGGAUUUCUCAUAAACAAGUUGUUUAUGUGAAGUUCGCGUUCGUGUUCUAAAAUCCGAGCAAGGACAUGUUGACGAAACAAGCAAGGAUAGUUCUAAAAAUAGAAACAGCUUACGUUCGAAAGAAGUUUGGGCAAACUGUUAGUGAACUUGGUAAAACCUAGAUGACCGCAGACUUCUUAUUGACGUUUAGGCCUGCUCAUCCAACAUAACCCCUCGUGGAAAGAAGCAGACGCGCGCCCGGACUUGACAUUUGGAGUGAUCUUGGGUUCGAUACUUGCCUUGAGCAUUCUUCAUCAAAAAGGAAAACUGAAAAUGCAGCACCGGGAACCAGCAGCAGUAGUAGAGUAGUAGUAGCAAGCGAUGUUCAUUAGCACUCAAACAUAAUUGAAAAAAAUUCCCCAAAGGCAUAACUAGGAAACUGAAUGAUUUUUUAUGGUUGAUAUUUUUGUAUUAUCCAUCAUUCAUAUUAUUAUUAUUCAUAAAUGGCGUAUCCCUGUCCAAACUAAUAAAUUACAAAAAACUAGUAGUUAAAGUAUCGUAAAGCGACAUUACUCACAAAUAAAGGAUUAAAUAAAGAAAAAACAACUUUUGAGCGAACACCUUGGACGUAUUUUAUGAAAAGCCUGUUUAACAUUCUUGUCUGCCACGAUAUGUUCUUGAACGGUUAUAAAAACGUUAGCCUAACUCCCUCCUGAAUCUUAAAGGCAGAAUGUUGUUAAACGGUUCUAACGACGUUAUCCAACCCGGUUCAGAAUCUUAUAGUCAAGAGUUCUUAUGACAUGUUCAACAAACGUUCUCUAUGCAAGUAGGACGUGCGCUGGUAAAACUUAAUUAAACCACGCACAUUUCUAACAGGUUAAGAGAUGUUCAACAACAGAAAAACGUGCGCUUUUUCCAGCGUUCAAGAGUUCUCAGGGACGUUGGGAAAACAUAGUAAAUGAGUUCAACAACAAGUUCGGAAAUCUUUUGGCGAACAAAGUGUGCUACUUGGGAAGUUUGUGAAACUGCGAUUGGAAUUUCCACCUAUUUCGAUUGUAUAAGAUCCUAGAUUUCAAACAAAACAAUGUCAAUUAGCUGAAGACUAACAUUUAACAAACAGUGCAUCCUGCAUACGUCAGUUAAUACUUACUGUAAGAACGAGCAGGAUGCAGAAA